GAUGAAGAACGUAGCGAAAUGCGAUAAGUAAUGUGAAUUGCAGAAUUCAGUGAAUCAUCGAAUCUUUGAACGCACCUUGCACUCCUUGGUAUUCCGAGGAGUACGCCUGUUCGAGUGUUAUGAAGCUCUCAAAACGCAAUUGGCUUAAAACCUGAUUGUUGUUUUGGAUUUGAACUUUGCCGUGUUAUAACGGCUGGUUUUAAAAGUAUUAGCUGGUACUAGAACGAAUUGGUUCUACUCAACGUGAUAAUUAUCUGAUCGUUGAGGACAUUCCUUUCACGAGGAAUGGCCAUAGUAAAUUCAAUGGACUGCUUCUAAUCUGGCUUUAAUUCUUUAUUGGAUUAACCACUUUUCAAAUCUGACCUCGAAUCAGGUGGGACUACCCGCUGAACUUAAGCAUAUCAAUAAGCGGAGA
rnacentral:misc_RNA from 1 species